CCUACGGGUGGCAGCAGUGGGGGAUAUUGCACAAUGGGGGGAACCCUGAUGCAGCGACGCCGCGUGGGGGAAGGAGUGCUUCGGCAGGUAAAGCCCUAUCGGCAGGGAGGAAGCAAGACGGUACCUGACUAAGAAGCCCCGGCUAACUACGUGGCAGCAGCCGCGGUCAUACGUAGGGGGCGGGCGUUAUCCGGAUUCACGGGGUGGAAGGGGAGCGUAGACGGCCAUGCAUGCCAAGGGUAAAAGCCCGGGGCCCAACCCCGGGACGGCCCUUGGAAAUGCAUGGCUGGAGUGCGGGAGGGGCAGGCGGAAUGACUGGUGUAGCGGUGAAAUGCGUAGAUAUCAGACGGAACACCGGCGGCGAAGGCGGCCUGCUGGACCGCGACUGACGUUGAGGCUCGAAAGCGUGGGGAGCGAACAGGAUUAGAUACCCGGGUAGUC
rnacentral:rRNA from 1 species